rnacentral:rRNA from 1 species
AUCAACUUUCGAUGGUAGGAUAGAGGCCUACCAUGGUGGUAACGGGUAACGGGGUGUUAGGGCACGACACCGGAGAGGGAGCCUGAGAAACGGCUACCACAUCCAAGGAUGGCAGCAGGCGCGCAAAUUACCCAAUCCCGACACGGGGAGGUAGUGACAAUAAAUAACAAUACGGGGUCCUUUCGGGUUUCGUAAUUGGAAUGAGUACAAUUUAAAUCUCUUAACGAGGAACAAUUGGAGGGCAAGUCUGGUGCCAGCAGCCGCGGUAAUUCCAGCUCCAAUAGCGUAUAUUAAAGUUGUUGCAGUUAAAAAGCUCGUAGUUGAAUUUCGGGAUUAGUGCGCCGGUCGUGCCUUCGGUAUGUACUGGUGUUACUGGUUCCUACCUUCUGACGAACCGUCAUGUCAUUAAUUUGGUGUGGCGGGAAACCAGGACUGUUACUUUGAAAAAAUUAGAGUGUUUAAAGCAGGCUCGCGCUUGAAUACAUUAGCAUGGAAUAAUGAAAUAGGACGUUCGAUCCUAUUUUGUUGGUUUCUAGGAUUGACGUAAUGAUUAAUAGGGAUAGUUGGGGGCAUUAGUAUUCAAUUGUCAGAGGUGAAAUUCUUGGAUUUAUUGAAGACUAACUACUGCGAAAGCAUUUGCCAAGGAUGUUUUCAUUAAUCAAGAACGAAAGUUAGGGGAUCGAAGACGAUCAGAUACCGUCGUAGUCUUAACCAUAAACUAUGCCGACUGGGGAUCGGAUGAUGUUAUUUUUAAUGACUCAUUCGGCGCCUUACGGGAAACCAAAGUGUUUGGGUUC